UGCAAGUCGAGCGGAAACGAUGGAAGCUUGCUUCCGGCGUCGAGCGGCGGACGGGUGAGUAAUGCAUAGGAAUCUGCCCGGUAGUGGGGGAUAACCUGGGGAAACCCAGGCUAAUACCGCAUACGUCCUACGGGAGAAAGCAGGGGAUCUUCGGACCUUGCGCUAUCGGAUGAGCCUAUGUCGGAUUAGCUAGUUGGUGAGGUAAUGGCUCACCAAGGCCGCGAUCCGUAGCUGGUCUGAGAGGAUGAUCAGCCACAUCGGGACUGAGACACGGCCCGAACUCCUACGGGAGGCAGCAGUGGGGAAUAUUGGACAAUGGGCGAAAGCCUGAUCCAGCCAUGCCGCGUGUGUGAAGAAGGCUUUCGGGUUGUAAAGCACUUUCAGUGGGGAAGAAAUCCUCGGGGCCAAUACCCUCGAGGGAGGACAUCACCCACAGAAGAAGCACCGGCUAACUCCGUGCCAGCAGCCGCGGUAAUACGGAGGGUGCGAGCGUUAAUCGGAAUUACUGGGCGUAAAGCGCGCGUAGGCGGCGUGAUAAGCCGGUUGUGAAAGCCCCGGGCUCAACCUGGGAACGGCAUCCGGAACUGUCAGGCUAGAGUGCAGGAGAGGAAGGUAGAAUUCCCGGUGUAGCGGUGAAAUGCGUAGAGAUCGGGAGGAAUACCAGUGGCGAAGGCGGCCUUCUGGACUGACACUGACGCUGAGGUGCGAAAGCGUGGGUAGCAAACAGGAUUAGAUACCCUGGUAGUCCACGCCGUAACGAUGUCGACUAGCCGUUGGGGUCCUUGUGACCUUUGUGGCGCAGUUAACGCGAUAAGUCGACCGCCUGGGGAGUACGGCCGCAAGGUUAAAACUCAAAUGAAUUGACGGGGGCCCGCACAAGCGGUGGAGCAUGUGGUUUAAUUCGAUGCAACGCGAAGAACCUUACCUACUCUUGACAUCGUGCGAACUUUCCAGAGAUGGAUUGGUGCCUUCGGGAACGCACAGACAGGUGCUGCAUGGCCGUCGUCAGCUCGUGUUGUGAAAUGUUGGGUUAAGUCCCGUAACGAGCGCAACCCUUGUCCCUAUUUGCCAGCACGUAAUGGUGGGAACUCUAGGGAGACUGCCGGUGACAAACCGGAGGAAGGUGGGGACGACGUCAGGUCAUCAUGGCCCUUACGAGUAGGGCUACACACGUGCUACAAUGGCCGGUACAAAGGGUUGCGAAGCCGCGAGGUGGAGCUAAUCCCGAAAAGCCGGUCUCAGUCCGGAUCGGAGUCUGCAACUCGACUCCGUGAAGUCGGAAUCGCUAGUAAUCGUGAAUCAGAAUGUCACGGUGAAUACGUUCCCGGGCCUUGUACACACCGCCCGUCACACCAUGGGAGUGGACUGCACCAGAAGUGGUUAGCCUAACUUCGGAGGGCG
rnacentral:rRNA from 1 species